UGGUACUACUUUAUGGCUGCCACAAUUGCUU
rnacentral:piRNA from 1 species